ACAGAUAAAAAGAGACCGAAUACGAUUCCUGUAUUCGGUCCAGGGAAAUGGCUCUUGGGAGAGAGCCGUGCGCUAAAAGUUGGCAUUAAUGCAGGCUAAGUCGCCUUGCCUUAUAAGAAUAGAUGACGACGCCAGGUUUUCCAGUCCGUGACGAAAGUGACUGGAAAAAAAGGCCAUUUGUCAUUUGCUGAAAAGUAAAAAACCGCAACGUCAUCCUGGCGA
rnacentral:sRNA from 1 species